rnacentral:lncRNA from 1 species
UCAUGAUCAGGCUUGGCUCAGACAGGGUUUAGAAAAUAAAGUACUUUUUCUGUGUCCUUUAGAAAAAUUGUUCAACAGUUAAUGAUGAAAUUUCAGUUGAAUAAGUCGACUAAAGUUCAAACUACGCAACUUGAAAUACUUCGCCUCUUACUGUAAACAGAUAUCAAUCACCCCAAAGGCAAGAUAUACUGACUGUCAUGUUACUGGGCUUAUUUUUCUACAGACGGGCAAUAUGCUUCCUUAUUUGCGCGUCUACGUCGCUAACGCUUACACUUACAGGAGCUGUACCAGAAACGCAGAACUUCAUUUCGGUGCUACAGCAGCUGCCCUCUGCCGGCCCUUCGAGCAGCUUAGUUCGUCCUGAUGGCCAUCAGGUGUCACUGCCUGCCUACUCCCUGGCACCACUUCUCAGGAGCGUCAGAAGCAUAGACGACGACGACCUUCGUCGAGAUGUGAAUUCACAACUCCAAAGCAAUCGUCCAUUAGACGCCAAAAUAGAUUAUCUUAUUUCCACACUUGCAAAUCUAGUGAAAAAGCAAAUCCGGAAUGAAAUUCAAGAGAAGUUGAUCAACAGAAUCAAGACGGACAUUCUCGACCCUAUAGACGAAUCCAUUCCAGACCUGCACAGCCAGCGUGGUCGUCGAUGACUAAGAUUCGAAUUAGCUACCUCAACCCAUCCGUGUGUGAGUACGCUGUCCCUUGUUAUGUUGCUUUCAUGCGAGCAGCUGUUUGAAUUUUUGUUUGCAGUAUCUGAUAUAAAUGUACCAUGCAUGAGUCAAAUACACCUAAAAAGACAAUGAA